AUACGGAGGGUGCAAGCGUUAAUCGGAAUUACGGGGCGUAAAGCGCGCGUAGGCGGUUUGGUAAGUCGGAUGUGAAAGCCCCGGGCUCAACCUGGGAAUUGCAUUCGAUACUGCCAGACUAGAGUAUGGUAGAGGGAAGUGGAAUUCCGGGUGUAGCGGUGAAAUGCGUAGAUAUCCGGAGGAACACCAGUGGCGAAGGCGACUUCCUGGACCAAUACUGACGCUGAGGUGCGAAAGCGUGGGGAGCAAACAGGAUUAGAAACCCUAGUAGUCC
rnacentral:rRNA from 1 species